UUUUACUUUGAUGUCCGGCUGAGCGAAGUUAUGAAGUCUCGCACCAGUGGCAAACUAUCGUUUGAUCUCGUUAGCACCUGAGUCGCAGUUGGUACCAGGGCACACGGUUGUUGGCACGCCAAGUAAAACGCUGCCUUGAAUUCUGUUCGUAAAAUUCCGAAGUUUGUUCCAGUCGCAAUUCGAAGUAUCAAAAUACUGAAAGCACUGACGUUUGUUCCAGUCGCAAUCCGAAGUAUCAGUACUAAGCCUGCCGGCAUCUUGUAGUGGGCAUCCGAGGGAAGCCAGACAGACGCCAGCCGUGUGCCUUGAGAGAAGCGUGGCCAGGUGCGAGCCGCACCAACGGGGAAGAGGGGCCUUGAACAGAAGCGUUUGCCUCGUGCAUCGUACAACAGGUAGGCUACAAGCCUGUAAUAUUUGAAUGUGUCUGCCUUACUUUGCUGGUUUACACGCUGCACAUUGUGCAUUCCAUUCAUAGAGUUUUUGUUGUGUUUUAGGACCGGCACCAACAGAGAGCCGUGUCAAUAGCCACUGUUUUGCUGAGUGUUUUAUUACCGUUUUGUGCGUUUAUGUUUGUCACGUUUUAUUUUGUAAACCAUUUCCAUUGAGUGCCACGGGUCUGUGCAAUACUGUGUGUGAGUGGGGAGCAUAACAGCCGGGUUUGUUGUGUUUCUUUUGGGGGAACUCCUCACUGGCGAGUGUCAACAUUAUUAAAUACAUAGAGUGUAGUGGGUUGAAUCCCCUGAGUGUAUACAUUUAUCUGACUUGAGUCAGCUUGGUGUGAACUACUGAAUUACCCGGUUUGCAGUGGUGAAACGUUUUGGUGUGAACUGAGGAGUUUGUGUAACCCUCCUUAAUACUAGUGUGUAACCAGUGAGUGGGAACCCCCCUUUUUCUUUGGUUGUUUAUGCUCUCCAGCCUGUGUCAAUUGUGUGUGCCCGUUAAAGCCUUGUCCAACUUGCACUUGAUUUUUACAUAAGAAAAAGAAAGAGAAAAUAUUAAAGAAAAUCAUUUUAUAACCAAAUUUUAAGAAACUAUUCGC